GUCCCUUUGGAGACAUCCGAUAAAAUUGGAACGAUACAUAGAAGAUUAGCAUGACUACUGUGCAAAGAUGAUACGCACAAAUCGAAAAAUGGUCCAAAUUUUU